rfam:Aedes aegypti strain Liverpool supercont1.75 genomic scaffold, whole genome shotgun sequence.
UAAUCGGCCCUAUUCAGGGCCAGCAAAUAUGUACUAUAGAGUUAAUU